rnacentral:lncRNA from 1 species
GCAUUCAUUCUAAAUCAAUAUUUACUAUUCAUCUCUUGUGUUCAACAAAACAAGGAUUUAACAUUUUUUUGUUUUAAUGAGGUACUAAGACUACAAUAAUACUACAAUGUAAUUGUCUUGAUACAAAAUAUUGCUAAAUUGUGUUGCUAUUUUGGGAGCAAGCAGUUUUUAAAAGGAGGGGUAUCCCUGUUUGUGAAAUGUUACUGUAGUAACACACAAUCCAAGCUCAGCCAAGCAGGGAGACUCACCAGUUUCAAAGAGACGUUAAGCUGCCUCUCUCUGUUAAGGCCCUUAACUAGGAUCAUUCGGGUAUUGAAGAUGAUAUACUGCCAUAAUCUUAGAUUAUGAUGAAGCUGCACUUUCACUUUUGCCAGUAUCACUUGCUGCACUCAUUCAGCUGCAGAGAGACUCUGCUGGAAGGAAAGACCAUGUCCAGGGUCCCUCAUCCCUGUGCCAGGAUGCACAGGAGGGCUUCCAGAUUCCUUUUUAUUUGUGAGUUGUUCAAAUCCAGACUCUUCCAAAUCAAGCUCCUGACACCAUUUAUAUCUGUAUGAGAAGAGUGGAUGUGCCAAAACAAUAAAAAGACGUUAGAUGUGCUAUGCAGUCUCAGCUUGACUUUUCUCCUGACACUGUUUUUGUGCAGCUG